UCAAAGACUGAAACGGAAAACCCCGUAAAUGAUUAAUCCUCUCAUCUCCCUAUUAUCGAUUUUAUUUGGGACGUUGAAUUAAAACGCUUAACUUCGGCUUUAAUGACUUCCCAAUAUAUAGUGUCUGAGCUGAAUGGAAAACCACAUCGGUUCCUCAGCUCGCACAAUUACGAGGUGUUCUCUCCUUUCUCUCUUUGGCAUUUGCUCUGUAUCCAAUACUGUAUGUGAUUACUUAGGGUUCGUUUUCGUAUAUCAUUGAUGUUUAAUUAGGGUUGAGUAUUAUAUUUUCCUUCACGUCGAAUCUAUCAAUAGAUUUGGUUUAUUUUUCUUCCCACGCUAUUUUCCUUAACCCAAAAACUAGGUUAUCACUGCAGUGGGUUUGAGACCCAACUCACUGAUUCAUAAACUUUAAACGACAGAAUUGGGUGUGUUACAUUUUCGACAAAAUUCCCCAAACAAAUCCAGUUUCAUUAUUCCAUACAAAUUCUGUUUCACUGAGUUUGAAGACCUAGGAUUCAAGUUUCAGAACAAAUGUCUUACAGGUCAAUCGUAUUACAUUUUUUCUUUUUACAGUGUUGUUAACCAUUACUCUUUGUUUACCUUUCCCACCUUUCGAACCUUUCCAACGUUUUACAGUGGUUGGCUUCUUAAAAACCAUCAGGGCAACACGAUCACCCGAUACUUCAGAGGCCCCGUGGCCAGACUUGCGGAAUGUGGAACUUGCAACUGGGAAUCUCAGUGGUAAUGAUCGAAUUGAUGUUGACUCCAACCCAGGGACAAUAUUACUAGCCGUGUGCUCCACUUUUGUGAAGAAUUAUCAAGUCAAAAUCACCAUAUCCUCCACUACUGCCACCAAAGUGUACGCGAACAUUGACAUUUUAGUUGUCAUAGAAAUGCAAGAAAAGUUGGUAUUUACCCUCUUUUCAUAUUCUUCGUUAUGGGACUUUAUAUAUCACUGAUUGUUGUGUCCCUUUAGACUUUUGGACCACCUAUUAUCAAUUAACUGUUUAGAAAUGCUACUGCCUAUGUACUCUGUACAAAUCAUUCAGAUAACAUGUUCUUUCUAUUGUUAAAAUACUUACUAAAAGACUGUUAUAUUGGUGGAGCUAUUUAUUUGUGUAUAACGUAUUUGUAUAUUGAGUUUCUGUGGGGAUUACAGUGUGAUUAUCUAUCUGGAUCUAUCUUUGUGGUUGUAUAUAUGUGUGUAUUCUUUAAUUAACCAGGGUUUUCAUAAUGUUUCCAGGAAAUUUUAUCCACUCGGUGGACUUUUGUAUCCUCCUUUUGGUGGCAUACUAACUAUGAUAUCAUGUUCAGAAAUCAUGAACUCAACUAUAUAAGAAAUGAUCACAUCAACUGGCAUAUGUUGCACUAAAUUGUCGGCAAACAAUGUGUACUCAUGAAACAUAGGAUCACUAUCUCGAGCAGACAUCAAUAUAUUAUAAGGAGGUUUGCAGGACAUGUGCAGAGUAUUAGCAGCAUACUAGCUCAUUUUUAUUUACAUCAAAAUCCUUUGAUACUUUUGGUUAGCAUGAAUGAAAUGUUUGAAGAAUUUAUAGAGCGUAUGGGGUGUUGUGAACUCGACACGAAAAUGCUCUUAUGCACCUGGAGGAGGUAAAAGCAAUAUAAUCUGCCAGGGAGAAGCCAUUGCAAAUAAGGAAAGGUAUCCAGCGAACUAACACAGUCCAGGUUCCUGCUUAGCUUUGGAGUUGAAGAUAAUACCAUCGUCGCAAUAGUGAGGUCCAGAAUUGGUCCAGCACACAACAUCUAAGCUUAACCUUGGUGUUUUUUUUUUUGGCUUUUCAUCAACCAGUGUAAAGAUACCUUCGACACUCCACAAUUUCGAAGAUUAAUCUAAAGGAGGCGGGGAUGUCUGGAUUUUCACAAAUCAUGCUUCAUGUUGUUGAUUUCCAAAUCACUCUCAAUUCCGGAGACAUGAAACAUAAAGUUGCAAGCAGCUACCCCGUCACCCGCAUUGACCUACGUACUCUCCCCAUGCCUCCAGCAUCACAGCAAAUCCUUUUGAACCAUUGAAAGUUGAAGGAAACUCGGCACUGAUGAAGAACAUGCGGCCAAGAAUGCUUGCCGUAACGAAGUGGUCCAACUUGAUUGAAUUCAAUCCAAAGAAUGAGUUAUAGCUUUCCACUUGAUUAUUAGAUCGAUUAAUGCAUUCUGGGUAUUUAUUUGAUAUUGUCCAUUCUAUUUUAGGUGUACUUUGUU